AAACCGUGAUGGGGGCACUGCGUGGUGUAGCUUUUAAACCUCUCCCAAGCUUCAUAGAAAGUUUCAUUAUUUUCCUGUGUGAAGCCUGAGAUCUCGUUCCUUAAUUU
rfam:Arabidopsis thaliana chromosome 5, complete sequence.